rnacentral:rRNA from 1 species
UACGUAGGGGGCAAGCGUUGUCCGGAAUCAUUGGGCGUAAAGAGCGUGUAGGCGGCUCGAUAAGUCCGCUGUGAAAGUCCAGGGCUCAACCCUGGAAUGCCGGUGGAAACUGUCGGGCUGGAGUCCGGAAGAGGCGAGUGGAAUUCCUGGUGUAGCGGUGAAAUGCGCAGAUAUCAGGAGGAACACCAAUGGCGAAGGCAGCUCGCUGGGACGGUACUGACGCUGAGACGCGAAAGCGUGGGGAGCAAACAGG